CCUACGGGAGGCAGCAGUGGGGAAUAUUGGACAAUGGGGGGAACCCUGAUCCAGCCAUGCCGCGUGUGUGAAGAAGGCCCUCGGGUUGUAAAGCACUUUCAGUGAGGAAGAACGCCUGGUGGUUAAUACCCAUCAGGAAAGACAUCACUCACAGAAGAAGCACCGGCUAACUCCGUGCCAGCAGCCGCGGUAAUACGGAGGGUGCGAGCGUUAAUCGGAAUUACUGGGUGUAAAGCGCGCGUAGGUGGCUUGAUAAGCCGGUUGUGAAAGCCCCGGGCUCAACCUGGGAACGGCAUCCGGAACUGUCAAGCUAGAGUGCAGGAGAGGAAGGUAGAAUUCCCGGUGUAGCGGUGAAAUGCGUAGAGAUCGGGAGGAAUACCAGUGGCGAAGGCGGCCUUCUGGACUGACACUGACACUGAGGUGCGAAAGCGUGGGUAGUAAACAGGAUUAGAUACCCGGGUAGUC
rnacentral:rRNA from 1 species